UACAGAGGUGGCAAGCGUUGUUCGGAAUUACUGGGCGUAAAGGGCGCGUAGGCGGCCUUCUAAGUCAGACGUGAAAUCCCCCGGCUUAACCUGGGAACUGCGUCUGAUACUGGGAGGCUAGAGUAUGGGAGAGGGAUGUAGAAUUCCAGGUGUAGCGGUGAAAUGCGUAGAGAUGUGGAGGAACACCAGUGGCGAAGGCGACUUUCUGGUCUGUAACUGACGCUGAGGCGCGAAAGCGUGGGGAGCAAACAGG
rnacentral:rRNA from 1 species